rnacentral:lncRNA from 1 species
CUCUAUUGGCACCGUUUGAUCAAUGCGGUGAUAAUAGUAGAGGUCAAUGUAGUUGACGCCAAGACGCUUCAAGCUAGCCUCGCAGCAUGACAUACUCCGGAGUUCCCUUCACCACCAAGCGAGGAGGUCCUAAGCUUACAAUACCAAACUUCGUUGCUAGUUGAACCUCUUCCCUUGGCAACUGCUUCAGGGCCUAAAACAACAUACAGAAAAUUAGUCUGCCUCUCAUUACCACUAUCUGUGAUGUUUCCUCAAACUAACUACCCCAUUUGUGGAACUGGACUUUGAUAGUAUCAGAAUUCAGUAACAAAAAUUCACAUUGCAUUUGAUAAUCUCUCAAAAACACUUGGACAAAUGCUUUAAGGAAAGUUCACCAGCGAAGGUGUGAUCAAAUCAUCAAAUCAUCAAAUUAUCUUACUUACCUUGCCAACAAGAAUUUCAUUGGCAUGAUCAGUUCCGUAUAUAUCAGAUGUGUCGAAGAAAGUGAUUCCUUUACUGAAGGCAUGCUUUAUAAUGGAGAUUCCAUCCUCUUCAGCACCAGGAGACUUGACAAACGUCAAUCCCAUGCAUCCAAACCCCAAUUUUGAAACCUGAUGAAGUUAAUACCAUGAUCGGAUAUUAGAAAUAAACCAAACAAAUCAAGCUACUGAAAGGAAGUUAAUUAUUCAGGAAUGAAAGAAAAUGCAGGAGGAUUAUAUCUGACCUCAAAUCCUUGAGUUCCUAGUUUAACCUUUGGGAUCUGUAUUUCCUUCUGUUCAGCCAUUUCUUCGAUCUCUUCCUUCAAAUGAUUACUAUUGAGUCGUGAAACUGGGAAUGGGACUGUGAAGAGUGAAGUUCAAGAUUUACAAAACUCUUUAAAAUCUGCUGUGUUUGAAAUUGCAGUUUGGCCAUAUGAUUCUGUGGUUAUAUAUGUACUCACACACUGGCAAGUGACAUCAUUGACUAUGUCAUAGUAUCUAGUUCUCGUUGACUAUUUCAAAGUAUUUCUCCCUCGUUAGAGUUAGAGCACUAUGUCACUAUGGCUCUUUUUAUGGUAAGUCAUUAUGUCAUUGUGCCACUACUUAACAAAGUAAUAACUGACAUCACUGCACAUGCAUGUCUUGGCUUUACCGCUUGCAGAGGUACACCUUACUUGAGCAUUAUUGGGAGGAUGACAAAACAGUGUUUACCAUAUAUCUUUAUCAUUUGGGUCCAAAGCCAGAGGCUUCCAAUACAAACUCGCCGGCGCUUUGUCACCAAAAGCAACAUUCUUGAGUCAAAUGGAUCUGACCUCGAACCAAAUUUUAUAAUCGACGAGUUACCCGAGUCUAAGAGUAACAAAACAACAUUGCAACUGACAAUAAAUCAAGUCAAUUAGCUUUCUUCAACAUCGUGUUUAAAAAUUAUCAGAUCACGUGCAAAGACAAUCCACCCACAUAUUAACAACUAAACAACAUCGUAAUGAAAACACUUAUCCACAUGAAUGAUGUCACCACAGUAGCAUAUCGACAAAACCAAGGCAACCCAACACUCGCUUAAAAGCAUCCCACCCACACCAAUGAGACCAGAAGCCAAUGCUAGCGCGAGGGCACCACCAGACAAGCGAGAUACUCAAUAUGUUUUCCUAACCAUAAGCCUCUUGUUUUUGCAGAGCAAAUGAGACUUUUUAGAUGAUGACUACUCCGUAGGUUUUUUUUUUUUUCGUGGUUGGUAAUUUGUUGAUUUGUAAUUGGAUUCCUAUAUCAGUUUGAUGGUUCUAGUGUGCUUCUUCUUUAAAUAAAAUCAAACGUGCCUUUACCAUUUUUACAUUCUUUUUUACCCAGUCGGGAUCCAGAGAGGACGUCUACAUAGCCCUUAAAGUGCGGACAUCCCUCCGUCCUCCACCGUACUGCUCCGACGACAGCGCGUCUCCACCCAAGCGGUCUAUAGCAACGUCCCCGAUCACUUUCCCUCCCCGGCGAGUCCGCCGAAUUCUAGUUUUCUAGUGAGAUCACCCAAAACUUCGAACCAAAUCGAUCUCACUGGAAAACUAAUUCGGCGGACUCGUCGGGAAGGGAAAAUGAUCGGGGACGCUACUGGAGGCCGCUAGGGUGAAGGUGCGCCGUUGUCGAAGCCGUAUGGUAGAGAACAGAGGAACGUCUGCACUUUAAGGGCGUGCGGACGACCUCCUUAGAUCCUCUCCACCUUUUUACCAUUUCCAUUGUAGAUAUCUACAAUGACUUUUUACCUUCCUAGAUCAAAAUUCAUAAAUACAAAUUGGUACAAAAUUAUAGCGCCACGAGUAAAAAUGAUUAGGCAAUUAGUUAUUUUUGUUGUCGUCUCUACAAUCAGUUGGCUUGAAGGAUACUACGUUUUUAUCCAAAUCAAAACCAAUUAAUAAAUCUGUCUGAAGCAUGCCCCCAAAAUAGCCAAAGUCAUAGUGCCACCCACGAUUGCAAGACAAUACAUCCCAUUCUCACGAGCUGUUAACACCUUAUUGCUCAACGGCACUUCUCCACCACCUCAAAAUGUAAAGCAAUUCUAAAGGCGUCGUGGUAAUAAAGCAAAGGGUAUCCAACCCAUAGUUUUUAUUUACGAUUGACUCUAAUGGAACUGCCUUUUGUAGCUUAGUUACCAACCGGUCAAACAUAUAUUUUGGUAGUCGUGGAAAAGGUGUACCUGAGUCGAUCAACAUGUUAUCUUUCUUCAGCAGGGUACCAUUUGAGUUAAAUGGAACAAAAUCAUUUCCGAUGCUAAUUCAUGAUACCGUCACAUAAUAAAAGGUCGUAUGAUCAACUAAAGGUGUUGUCAUCACUCUUCAUCCAAAACUUCACUCCUGUUCCCGAAAUAGAUCUUGUUUUCCAAAUUGGGAUCUUGCUUGCCUCCAAAAUAAGGAGCAAUUUGAGAGACAAAUGACAAGGGCCCACACCCAAGCCCUAUAACUCUCAUUUCAUUUCUAGUGCUAAAAGUGUCAUUGUUCGUAGUCCCACACUUAAAGAUAAUGUCUUUUAGGAUUACAAUGUUACCUGUAGUGGAUUUCAACGAAAUUGUUUCUCUACCUAGAUUACCUAUUGUGUAUGUCUCGUCUGCAUAACUGUACAUGUACACGCAAUUUGUAAAAGGUUCUUUUUUACACACUCCUGCUAAACUUGGGGUAUAGGAUUUGCCAAGUAGUUUACAGUCCCUUGACCGACAGGUAAUAUUCUUAUAAGUUGAUGAGUUUCUCGGGUCAAAAACACCAAACUUGGUCAUGUAAUUAACUAUGAAACCAUUAGGGUUUUCUUGAUUGAAACCAUUAUUAGGUUAAUUAUACAGUAAGAGGUCAUAUAAUGAAAUCUUUAGUCUUCCUUAUGAUGACAAAUGAACUGUGAUUUAGGGUUCAAUUAAUAUACACAUGCACACACACAUUUAUUGGGAAAAAAAAUGUAAUACAUGCAUGAUGUAGACAAAGAAGCAACAUCAAGAAAUUUAAGAUAAGUCGAGAAAUCUAAAUCCUUAAUGAGUUUGUGUUACUUCCAGUAUAAAAUUGUAUAAUGCAGUUCAAAUAUCACUAAGUAUAUAUAUAUAUAUAUAUAUAUAUAUAUAUAUUAUUUUGUUAUUGGAAACGAUAACACUUUAUUCAUAAUAACUAGUAGCAUUACAAUGAAACUUGCAUGUCACACAGCGUGGCGUAGAGAAAAUAUGUUCCCCACAUCUGAUACUACUCGAAGAAGUACAAAUGGGAUAUGACAUUCCACAUUUAACUUACUUAUCAACGAGAAGUUUCGUUUGCCUCAAACACACAUAUUACUGAUGAUAUAGUCAAGAACUCAAGAUUGAGAUGAACUAGUUCAGAGUCUUUUGAGGAGUGUUGGCAUAUUUCCAUUGCACAUGACUCGCGCUUGGAAAAAUUUUAUCGCCAGCUACUUCGUCUAGUGGAACAGCUCCAGUGAUUUCUUUGAGGUCAUCUUCCUUCAGAUUCAGACUUAAGGAGCCAAUGUUGGUAUCCAGGUUCUUAAUCUUUGUUGUCCCUGCAUGUAUAUGUAUGUGGAAAUUAGUUCAAAGUAUUAUAAUCUUUGUCGUCUGCAUAUUUAACUUGAAGAUCGACGAAGAGGUUCUCAGACUCACCGGGGAUUGGUACAACGUCAUCACCUUGGUGGAGAACCCACGACAGUGCUAGUUGAGCAGGAGAGCAACGGUGCUUAUUUGUAGCAAGGCUUUCUAUUGCCUGGUAUAUGCGUCUGUUCUUCUCCAAGUUCUCUCCAGUUAGCCGAGGAUGUGCGGCCUGGUAUUUACAAAAUCCAAGAUUAUGUCACAUACUAAUGCCAUAAUGAAAUGCUCUGUUUCUGAAUUACAGAGCUCUCUGUUUAGACGUAUGCUAUCAUGGACGUGUGUUUUAAGUUUGUCAUAGAAUUUGAGAAGAGAUUAAUGUAAGGGAGAAGACGAUUUGUACCGCAAGAUCAUUUGGAUCCAAACUUUCGGCAACUGCUUUGCCUGCGAAGAAACCACUACCAAGAGGACUAUAUGGAACUAUUCCAAUGCCACGCUCCCUGCAUCAUGUGAUUAUGAGAAUUAAAGAUUGAUCGAUGUACAUGUGAUAUGGGAAUCGAAGAAUAGUGUGAUGGAAUGGAAAAACGCCAAUAUUGUGCAUGAAAUCUUUAUAUUCAUAUUGCAUUCCUAAAUCUACACAAUAUGUAUGAUGUUUACAUCAUUCAUUUUCAUCUGAUACCAGCCCAUACGUACACCUCUGUCCCUCAUUUCUGCAUUUGUUCUUGUAUGUCCGCUACUCUGAUUAAAUAUAUGAGAUAUUAGAAGAAAUUAAAGAAGAUUCAACUAAUAAUAAUAAAAUUGUACGUAUACUCUCAAACUGAUCUGUCAUAGUAUCAAAGACAAUGUGAUAGGUGAAUCUAUUUGUGAGAAUGAAAGAACUAUCAUCAUCCCAUUUCACUUUCUAGUUGGAAAGACACAUGUCUUCGAAAAACUUUAAGGGGAAUCUCACAGAUUAAUCUGCAAUAACACCUGAGCAUCUCUUGUUGAAUUAUUCAAAUGCACAAAGAACUGGAAGGCCUCUCUCUUUAUGUACAAAAGAGAAUGGGAAGAUUUUAACUCUAGAACUGGAAGGCCUCUCUCUUUAUGUACAAAAGAGAAUGGGAAGAUUUUAACUCUAGACAAUGUCCCAAAUAAUGCUGAUCAUGAGAUAUUUGUUUGAUCUGUAUAUCAUAUACUCUUAUACGAGUCCUUGUUUAAAAUGUGUAGAUUUUUGUUGUGCUUUAUGCUCUUCAUUUAAAUAUAUAGCUUACAAGUUAAUGGUGAAUUCAAAGAAUUAAUGAUGACAAUUAAUUUGAACAUUUUCUCAGUCUAUAUAUAGUAAGGGAUACUGCGUUGAUCCUACCAAAAAAUAAAGUUUAUACAUAAAUAUUAAUCUUGAAAUGAAUUAAUUUUAUACCUGCAAAGUGGAAUAAUCUCUUCUUCAAUAUCUCUAGUCCAAAGAGACCACUCCAUUUGCACAGCUGUGAUGGGAUGCACAGCAUGUGCUCUCCUUAUUGUGUCUGGACUGGCUUCAGAUAACCCAAUAUACUUGAUCUUUCCUUCUUCCACAAGUUUUUUCAGCUCUCCCAUCUAAAAUCCAACAAGAAAAAAGAGCAAGUAUCUUGUCACAUUUCCAUCUGGGGUUGUUUCGGAUGCUCGAAAUUGUUCUGUGUAUUGGGAGUUUGGUACUAUGCAUAUGUUCAAAUGAAAAUUACAGUUUGAUUUCAAACUUACAGUGUCCUCUAUUGGCACCGUUUGAUCAAUGCGGUGAUAAUAGUAGAGGUCAAUGUAGUCGACACCAAGACGCUUCAAGCUAGCCUCGCAGCAUGACCUGACAUACUCCGGAGUUCCCUUCACCACCAAGCGAGGAGGUCCUAAGCUUACAAUACCAAACUUCGAUGCUAGUUGAACCCCUUCCCUUGGCAACUGCUUCAGGGCCUAAAACAACAUGCAGAAAAUUAGUCUGCCUCUCAUUACCACAAUCUGUGAUGUUUCCUCAAACUAACUACCCCAUUUGUGGAACUGGACUUUGAUAGUAACAGAAUUCAGCAACAAAAAUUCACAUUGCAUUUGAUAAUCUCUCAAAAACACUUGGACAAAUGCUUUUAAGGAAAGUUCACCAGCGACGGUGCGAUCAAAUCAUCUAAUCAUCAAGUUAUCUU